GGGGCACUUGGAGGUAUCUUGGACAUGAGUAUCUGCCUUGCAUGCAGAAGGUCCUGGGUUCAAUCCCCAGAGGCACCU